CUCCUGGCCUCCUCCUCCUCCCGCUAACCUCAUCCCCUCUGCCGCCGCCGGGCCCUCUCCUCUCCCCGUCGGUGCGAGUGCGUGGGUCGCGGCGUGCGGAGAGCGAGGAGAGGGAGAGGACAGACGCGUGAGGAGGAGGAGGCCACGGCCGUCGGCUCCUCUCCUCUCCUCGUCGUCUCCUCCCCUCUCCCCGCCGGCCCAGCGCGCUGGUCGUGUGGCGUGAGGUGAGCGAGGAGAGGGAGGGGGAAGAUGCGUGAGGAGGAGCAGGACCAGGCGGUGGCGUGCUGCUGGAGUGGAGGAGUGGUCGUCCGCUGCACGUCGUCGUCGUCCUCAUACCCAAUCUGGCAGCGGCAGCUGCAGGCCAGUGCGUUAGCUAAAGGAGCAUGAGUGAAGAAGUCCUCCUUCAGAAUCUUGCCGAGAUGCUCCUCUCUCUUUGGGAUUUUGUUCCAAUGACACGUUGCUGACUAUUUGAGUUUUUUGCUCAAUCGGGCCUGUAGUGUCCGCCAUCAUGUAAUUUUAGGACCAAAUUCAGAGAAAACAGUCGCCUCUAUGGAAUUGUUGAAGAACCUGUCAAUCCAACGGAUUCAGUUGCACAAUAUUCGAUUUGAUGGUUGACAAUAUGCAGAGCAUCUUGGGAGCCUCCAUCAUGUUCUGGAUAAAGCAGCUGACGAAAUAGUAUGCUGAUCCCGUCCCUUGUUGACGAUGAAUUUGCCUUGAGCACUGCGGUUUUGUCAAUUUGGUAGAGCUUGCUGUCCUCUAGGUUUUAUGUACAGAGUUCUUAGAAAUGAAGCAGCUGCAGAAAAGGGACAUCCUGAGGAGAGGUACACCAACGCCUUCCUUGGGCACGGACCAGAGGACUCACAUUUUGUGUAGAGCUCACUUACUCAGAAGUGACGAUAUUGGAUCUGGUUUUGGUCAUUUCAGAAUUGCUGUUGAGGAUGGGCGACAUAGCUAAAAUUUGACGUGAGAAGUGCAGCCACAACAAUGGGCAGCCGAAUAAAAAAUAUAGGGAGACACAAGGAGAAUAUAACUGGUCAUACUUCAACAAUGGCCACACUACUUAUGAUGGUUCAAGAGAAGAUAUCCGUGAUACUGAGCCUGGUGAUGAGGGCAUCAAGACAAAGAGAUUAAUUCACAACUCUGUUGUUGAUAGGCUGUACAAAUUUACAAGGCACCACGAUAUGUAACUUAUGUUUGUUGCUUCGGAGAGUACUGCCAUGCUGUCAUGGUCUUCAAAAUGUGGAAGGUGACUUUUGCUUGAUCUAGAGUGGACGUUGAGCCUUGCCUUGUGGUGGCAGUAGACAAGGAAGUCGCCCAUUGAUUGAUCUUGAGAUGGCCAUGUCCCUGCAUUGCGGACGCUGAAGACAGUGUGUGUGAAUUUUUAGAGUACAUGCUUGGCACUACAUCUACUACUCCAAGAUUAUGUGGUGCUGCCUUGCUGACCCAAAUGUCCAGGGUCUCUUUAAGGAGAAGCCAGAUGGAACAAAACAUGAUAAUGGUCAUUUGCCUUUCUCUGGGUAAUACCGAAGUGACUGCUCGGCUACCAACCAAAGUCUCACCUUUUGUUUCAUUGUGUAUGCUGUCAACUGGCACUGAAGAAAAUAGUGAUUUGCUGCUGACUGACAUAGUGAAAAAAAAGAAGAGGUGUGAGUCUUUUGGUGGUGCCUUUUGGAGAUAAUAGUUAUGUAACAGAGAUAAUAGACAAAAAACAAAGAGGUAUUAUUGGGUACUCAACUAUGAUAUGGAAGGCAUUUCUGCUUUUGUCAAUGACAACCCACCAAACACACCCAUCAGGAAGAGUUGCUUACAUGUUGAGGUCAUUUUUCAUACCAAAGGCACAUGUAGCGAUGACUACCUGAUGUAAAUGACUGCAUAACUUAGUUAACAUAAGUUGAAUGACCAGAGCUAUCUAUAUGAUGCAUUUCUGCCUAUGUAGCUUUGCUUAUCAUGAACUGAUCUUGUACCUUUCUUUUGGCCUAUAAACCGACCAUGCAUUGUAAUAUAUAAUAUUAUGUAUGAACAGUGACUCUGUAUGAACAUCAUACCUAGAUAUUUA